AGUUGCUAGGAUUAGACCCGAAACCGAGUGAUCUAUCCAUGAGCAGGUUGAAGGUUAGGUAACACUGACUGGAGGACCGAACCCACUGUCGUUGAAAAGCCAGGGGAUGACUUGUGGAUAGGAGUGAAAGGCUAAUCAAACUCGGAGAUAGCUGGUUCUCCUCGAAAGCUAUUUAGGUAGCGCCUCGUGUAUCACCAUAGGGGGUAGAGCACUGUUUGGGCUAGGGGGUCAUCCCGACUUACCAACCCCAUGCAAACUCCGAAUACCUAUGAGUGCGAGCACGGGAGACACACUGCGGGUGCUAACGUCCGUUGUGGAGAGGGCAACAACCCAGACCGCCAGCUAAGGUCCCAAAUUCAUAGUUAAGUGGGAAACGAUGUGGGAAGGCUUAGACAGCUAGGAGGUUGGCUUAGAAGCAGCCAUCCUUUAAAGAAAGCGUAAUAGCUCACUAGUCGAGUCGGCCUGCGCGGAAGAUUUAACGGGGCUCAAACUAUGAACCGAAGCUGCGGAUAUAGAUUUAUCUAUAUGGUAGAGGAGCGUUCUGUAAGCCGUUGAAGGUGAAUCGAGAGGUUUGCUGGAGGUAUCAGAAGUGCGAAUGCUGACAUGAGUAACGAUAAGGGGAGUGAAAAACUUCCCCGCCGGAAGACCAAGGGUUCCUGCGCAACGCUAAUCGGCGCAGGGUGAGUCGGCCCCUAAGGCGAGGCUGAGAAGCGUAGUCGAUGGGAAACAGGUUAAUAUUCCUGUACUUCUUUAUAUUGCGAUGGAGAGACGGAGAAAGCUAGGCCAGCAUGGCGAUGGUUGUCCAUGUUUAAGGUUGUAGGCUGGGGGAUUAGGCAAAUCCGGUCCCCUAAGGCUGAGAACUGAUGACGAGAUCCUACGGGAUUGAAGUGGUUGAUGCUCUGCUUCCAGGAAAAACUUCUAAGCUUCAGAUAUAAAGAAACCGUACCCCAAACCGACACAGGUGGUCAGGUAGAGAAUACCAAGGCGCUUGAGAGAACUCGGGUGAAGGAACUAGGCAAAAUGGUACCGUAACUUCGGGAGAAGGUACGCUGCUGCCGGUGAUGGGACUUGCUCCCUAAGCUAGCGGCAGUCGAAGAUACCAGUUAGCUGCGACUGUUUAUUAAAAACACAGCACUCUGCAAACUCGAAAGAGGACGUAUAGGGUGUGACACCUGCCCGGUGCCGGAAGGUUAAUUGAUGGGGUUAGCGUAUGCGAAGCUCUUGAUCGAAGCCCCGGUAAACGGCGGCCGUAACUAUAACGGUCCUAAGGUAGCGAAAUUCCUUGUCGGGUAAGUUCCGACCUGCACGAAUGGUGUAACGAUGGCUAAGCUGUCUCCACCCGAGACUCAGUGAAAUUGAAAUCGCUGUUAAGAUGCAGCGUAUCCGCGGCUAGACGGAAAGACCCCGUGAACCUUUACUACAGCUUCACAGUGAACUUUGAGCCUACUUGUGUAGGAUAGGUGGGAGGCUUUGAAACAUGCACGCCAGUGUGUGUGGAGCCAUCCUUGAAAUACCACCCUGGUAUGUUUGAGGUUCUAACUCAGGUCCAUUAUCUGGAUCGAGGACACUGUGUGGUGGGUAGUUUGACUGGGGCGGUCUCCUCCCAAAGAGUAACGGAGGAGCACGAAGGUGGGCUAAGCAUGGUCGGACAUCAUGCGGUUAGUGUAAUGGCAUAAGCCCGCUUAACUGCGAGACAGACACGUCGAGCAGGUACGAAAGUAGGUCAUAGUGAUCCGGUGGUUCUGUAUGGAAGGGCCAUCGCUCAACGGAUAAAAGGUACUCCGGGGAUAACAGGCUGAUACCGCCCAAGAGUUCACAUCGACGGCGGUGUUUGGCACCUCGAUGUCGGCUCAUCACAUCCUGGGG
rnacentral:rRNA from 1 species